rnacentral:rRNA from 1 species
GACGAACGCUGGCGGCGUGCUUAACACAUGCAAGUCGAACGGAAAGGCCCUGCUUUUGUGGGGUGCUCGAUUGGCGAACGGGUGAGUAACACGUGAGUAACCUGCCCUUGUCUUUGGGAUAACUUCAGGAAACUGGGGCUAAUACCGGAUAGGAUCUCCUGCUGCAUGGUGGGGGUUGGAAAGUUUCGGCGGUUGGGGAUGGACUCGCGGCUUAUCAGCUUGUUGGUGGGGUAGUGGUAUACCAAGGCUUUGACGGGUAGCCGGCCUGGGAGGGUGACCGGCGUCAAUGGGACUGAGGGACGGACCAGACUCCAACGGGAGGCAACGGUGGGAAAUAUUGCACAAUGGGCGGGAGUCUGAUGCAGCAACGCCGCGUGCGGGAUAACGGCCUUCGGGUUGUAAACCGCUUUCGCCUGUGACGAAGCGUGAGUGACGGUAAUGAGUAAAGAAGCACCGGCUAACUACGUG